GGGCAAGCAUUAGGACUACUCAUACAACCAGCCGGGGACUCCCUCCAGCCUGUUGCCUGUUUGUCCAGACAACUCAACCUUGUGAUAAAAGGCUGGCCUCUCUGCUUACAGAUCCUGGCAUCAGCUAUGCUCCAUAUCCCCAAAGCCCAAAAAUUGCCCUCCACCAGCCCCUAUAAGUACACUCCUCACACAACCUCUCCAACCUUCUUAGCCCCCAGCUCUAACCCUUCUCUCCCGGACCCAAGUCCAGGUCUUACACUCUCAGCUUCUACAGCCCUUGGAUACCUUCUGCUGCUCUUCUGUCCUAAACCCUGCCACCUUCCAGUACCUAAUGGUCCAGACUCCACCCCCAACAUGGGUGCACUGAGCUCCUUGAUUUCACUCUCACCCGCUUCCAUCACAUGACCUCAGAACAUAUUCCAGGAUCUCCUGUCUGGCUUAUUGAUGGGAGUGCUUCAAAGGCCACCCCCUCCCAGGCAGGGUGCGCAUCACUAAGGGCUGUCAUGAUAGCCAGCCCUCCUGCCCUCCCUGAGAAGUAACAGAGGUGGCAGCCCUCCCCAUGGGGACGACCUCACAGCAGGCAGAACUUAUCACUCACCAGAGCUCUUACUCUGGCAAAAGGUAAAACUAUCAACAUCUAUACAGACCCUAAAUACACAUAUAAUAUCCUGCAAUCACAUGCCCAGAUCUGGCACAAGAGAGGACUCCCAACAGCAAAAAACACCCCUAUGCAAAACGGACCCCUAAUUCAAGAUCUCCUAGAGGCAGCACUUCUACCCCAUAGACCUACUGUCAUUCAUCGCAAGGGCCAUCAAAGACCUAACUCGCAGGAUAAAAAUUUCAGACACAUCAUUCAUGGAAAUAACGAGGCUCAUAGAGUAGCAAAACAAGCAGCUGUCAACCCUCUCUCCAUUCCCUGCUUCCUGAUCCAUCUUAUGCCCUACUUGCCCCAAGAAUUAGCUCUACUCCAAGCACAGAGGGCACUCCAAGAACAAUGGUGGUUCCUCCAUGGAAACCUGGUCCUUCCUGAAGGCUUAGAAAAUAAAUUCCUUUCAUCUUUCCGUGACUAGUUCCAUGCCAGAUCAUUCCCUCUGCUCCAACUCCUACAGACCCACAGACAUCCUACUCCUGGUCUCAGGACCUCCCUACAGAAGAUUAUCACCCGGUGCUCCAUAUGCCAAACCACCAACCCUUAGAGCAACCUCAGACCUCCCCCCUUUCCUACCCAUCAGUUCUGGUGAUCUCUCCCUGGCCCUGACUGGCAAAUAGACUUUACCCAUAUACCUCCAGUAAAGAAACCAAGAUACCUCCUUGUCCUGGUUGACACCUUCUCCGGAUGGAUCCACAGGUCUUAAAGGCUCACCGACGUCCCCAGUGGGCCAUAACUGGUCCCUCCCAAAGUGGACUCCAUCUAACCCAACCUGCUCCUUUGUGCAUCUCCUGAGCCCAGCAAGAUCACUACACCCCAGUCGGCUCCUUAGAUCCCUCCCUCUGCAAAUCCACCAUUCAGCUUCUCCCACCUACAUUAUACAAAAGAUCCUCCAGAGCAGCACAUAUUCCAUUCACUGAAAUCAUCCCCUGCUUCGGACUCCCAACUUCUAUCCAAACCAGUAACAGACCUGAAUUCACCUCCCAGAUCACCCAACAGGUGGCCUCUUCCCUAAAUAUAACCUGGAAGUUCCUUAUUCCGUAUCGACCCCAAUCCUCAGGUAAGGUAGACAAGGCUAAUCACCUUCUCAGACAGUGCCUAACCAAGUUUUCCCUCCAGGUUCAUUUGGACUGGACUCAGCUCCUGCCCUUAGCCAGUUUUAAACUCAGGUCUCUCGUCCACAAACCUGUUAUGCUCAGCCCUUUGAGGUUCUAUAUGGAAGGCCCCUUAUUACCUUCACUUUUCCCACCUCCAACUCAAACCUACCCCUCCCUCUCUCAACUUUUUUACUUAAUACAUUUAGACAUCUCAUCUGGAACUAUGCAGACUACACCUUCCCCAAACCCUUCAACAACCCACACAACCCUCACUCCUCCAUCCUACAACCUGGAGACUGGGGAUAUAUGAAGCCCCUCAGCCUCUCCCAUGGGCUGAAACCAAAAUGGACGGGGCCCUUCUAAGUAACCCUGACUACCCCAACAGUGGCCAGUUCAAAGGUCAUUCUGGGUCCACUUUUCAUCUCUAAAAAAGGCUCCCCUUUUCCAGGGCACACCAACCAAACCCACAUCCCUGAUCACCAAGCUGUCUUCUGUGGUUGAAGAGACCGAAGACACGGCUAAACAACCCCAUGAGUCUCUCUCUUUAUAACUUUGUCCUUAUAACUUUGUCCAUUUCUUGACCGACCUAAUAGAAGAACUCUCCCAUUACUUGCCUUCCACCUCCUUAGAUACAAUAAUCAAGGACCUAUGGUUAUAGGGAACCUUCCCAGAUUUCUCCCCAAGGCAAAUCACCACCUGUACCUCCUGUAUUCUCCUGCUCCGAUCCUUUCUUUCUCAAUAUUACUUAUCCUCUUAACCCCUAACACCACAGCACAGACCCUUCCUAAAUACCUCAAUCAGACACUCUCCCACUGAUCAAAUCAUCAAACCUUCAAUGGGACUAUCCAGCCACCCUGCUGGGUCUGUCUCCACCUUUCUCAGACAGCAGACUCAGCCACCCCUGCUCUCUUUGGGACAUGCAGGGCUACACUCCACCAAGACUGUCAGUCCCAGGGGUACAGCCCAAGCUGAAGGAUCUGACAUCAGACUUCCAGGGGCACUAAAAGGUAUUGGACAGGUCUUAAAGGCUCACCGACGUCCCCAGUGGGCCAUAACUGGUCCCUCCCAAAGUGGACUCCAUCUAACCCAACCUGCUCCUUUGUGCAUCUCCUGAGCCCAGCAAGAUCACUACACCCCAGUCGGCUCCUUAGAUCCCUCCCUCUGCAAAUCCACCGUUCAGCUUCUCCCACCCUCAGAUCACCGCAAUACUAACCAUCUGGGAACUCUUACCUUUAUCUGGGUACAUUUCCUUCCAAGGCAGUCUGAAUGCCACCACAUUUAGAUAUUGCCAAGACAGGAAAAGACCCCCUAAAAGACACCCCCCUAGCCCAUGGAGGAGCCUAAGAGUGCAAACAUCUUGAUAUGCCUGAUGGCAGAAUCUUCCUAAACCAAAAGUUCACUGCUCUUAGUCAAGAGGAUCCUAUGGUAUUGGAACCAGCCUCACCUCUCUCCCCCUUCGCAGCUGCAGCUUUUAGCUUCUCCUUCCAUAUAUGGCACAAAUAGGAGGCAGUCCAACAUUUACUUCCCAACCCACCCCCAGACCUCCUCCUCUUGUCUCGGUUUGAUCUCAUGGGAUGCCUUUCCCUGGAAACAGGCAUCUUUUGGGUGUGCAGAAACAAGGCAUACAUUUGCUCGCCAACCAACCGGACCCGAGUCUGCACUCUAAGUGUCCCCACUCCCACCCUUUCUUUAGCAACAUCCGAUCUACCCAGCCUUGUCUCCCCCAAAACCCAUGUCAGGGCACAAUGUGCCAUACAGCUAGUCCCCUUAAUGGCCACCUUAAGUGCUGGGACAGGGAUUGGGGCCCUAGGAGUCUCUCUUUCAGAGUUCACCAGGCUGUCCAAAGAACUCACUGAAGGACUCAAGAGGUUUCUGACCAACUGGGACACUUACAAGGUCAAGUGGACUCCCUGGCUUCAGCUGUUCCCCCAAACCGCAGAGGCCUUGAUCUCUUCACAGCUUCCCAGGGUGGCAUGUGUACUCUACUCCAGGACCAAUGCUGCUUUUACACCAAACAAUCUGGCCUCGUUAGGGAUGGGGCAAUACGGCCUUUGUGAGCAAGCUUCCAAACGUCUUGAAGUCCCUUCUAAUAACUCGUUCCCCUUCCUCUUCAUUAGCUUCUACCUCUCCUGGCCCCGUUCGCCUUUAUCACCCUCCUCCUCCUUUUCCUUCCCUGCUUAAUUAACCUAUUCCAAAGAUUUUAACAGGAUCCAAGGGCAGCCAUCUCCCGAGCAACUACUCAGAAUGCCUCCAAACGGCCUUUCUGCUUCAAAAUAUCAGAAAACCCUUUUCAUUGCCCCUUGCAGCAGGAAGUUGUAGGGGACGGCCUUUGUCUUCCCCCAUGUCUGUACGCAGAAUAGGGAAGCACCAGCUUGAGAACAAUUGGUGCAGUCCUUGGAAGUUAUCUGCCCACAAAAACAUUUCUUGUCCUCGAAAACGAGCCAAGAUGCCUCACGCUGAAAACAGGGAGACCUUGGGGAUGUGUGCAAACACUGCACCUGCUGAGCGGGUAGAUUCUAAGAAAAUCAACAAGAUGUUCUGGCCUGUCCCCCCUGAGAAGGGAAAGAUCAGUAUAGCACUUGGCUGGGGUCCGAGAAAGGCAGUAUAAAAAUAAAGGAGCUGCGCCACAUCGGGGCUGCUGCAGCCAUUGUCUCUCUGUCUGUGCUUUUUGUUCACUCCCAUUUCACCCAAGUGAGCAGCACCCAACAUCUGGCGCCCAACGUGGGGCCCGAAUAGGGACACACCAUGGGGCAGGACCCCACAGCCCAGAAGAACAUGGGGCACGAACGACCCCACUGUGGAACAGGACCCCACAACCCUGAGGAAAUUGGAGAUAGGAUGCCAGGGGUGACUUGGGACCCAGAAGGGGGCCAACUUCGGCCAAGAAAAGAACGGUGAUGGGUCUUCCUAUACCCUUAAGAGCAGGAAUGAUAGAGCCUGGACAGGAUCACCACUGUUUUGAGUAAGUACACCAGCCAUCUCAGAGAGACCUGGGUUUCAUUUUACUUAAGCCACAAGCAUUUUCCAGAGGACUCGUCAGCAAGCCACAAGCCACAAGCCCUGCCGAGCUGCCCCCUCAAAAGCCCGCCAAAAAGAUGUUAUAAAAAGCCUCCUAACUGUAAGAGAGGCCUUUUUUGUCCUGCUUGCCAGAACACAGAGGUCCCUCUCACAUUUAGCAAUAAAUCUACUCAAACUGUU